GUAGCUUCAUUACUGAGUUUAAUGGGAGGAAAAACAGUUUACUGCACAGCCUGCUCACCCCAGAAAGACAGUAAGCAUAACCUUUAAGAAAUGAGUGAAAAUUAUCCACGAGUAUCUGACCAUCGGUUUUUGGAGAAAGGUUCAAGUUCCAUAAGAUAAAUCAACUAGAAGGUCUCCUCAACCUUAUUUGGAUGGUGCAUACUACAGGUACAUGAUCACUUCCACAGUCAUGACUCUGGUUGCACCAGACAUCCACCAAAUGAGAUGAUCCACCGUCCUGCACCCCCAAUGGCUUCAACCGUAACCCUGCACAGCUCAAGAAAAGUUCGCUCAGUGGUCUCAGGUCAAUGAACAUGA